UCCUAGUUAGCUCACUUGGUAGAGCGUUUCACUGUAAAUGGGGAGGUCCCUGGUCCGACACCAGGACCAGGCG
rfam:Ixodes scapularis strain Wikel colony gcontig_1108379377164, whole genome shotgun sequence.